GGAAUUUUAAAGGACAGGGUUCUCAGCUCAACAACAGACCAUCACCAUGGUUCGACUUCAUUUUUUGACUUCAUGUGUGUGCGUAUGUAAAAUGUAUUCAGUAGCAACCACACUUGGAAUUUUGAUCUUUUCCUGGGCUUACAAUACAUGCAGUACUAUACUCUCUGGUGAUGCCCAGCAGUGGCAGAAAGUCCCAGUCAGCCAUGUGAUCACAAAGUAAACAACCAACACAACCAUUGUUUUUCACUUUUAGUACAAUAUUCAAUAACUUACAUGAAUGUUCGACACCUUAUUAUAACAUAGGUUUUGUGUUAGAUAAUUUUGCCCAACUGUAAGGCUAAAGAAGUGUUCUGAGCAUGUUUAAGGUAGGCUGGGCUAAGCUGUUUGGUACGUGUAUUAAAUGCAUUCUUAACAAUAUGUUCAACUUAUAAUGAGGUUACUGCACGUAACUCCGUUGUAAGUCAAGGAAGACCUGUACAGUAAUGUUCAAAUUGGUAGUCUAUUCUGAUUAUAUUCUAGGAGGUGUUAACAGGUUGGCCAUGAGAAAACAGGCUUUCUGGCAAGGCAAAUUUAGGUCCAGCCUUCGGGCGGCGCGCCCUCCGCCCGACAGGCGGCGCUGUGGGCCGGCAACUCUGCCCGCCGAACCCUCCGGCGCCGGAGGCCGGAACCGCCGCCGCUUCAGUUCGUGCCGCACGUGCCGUCCCUCGGUCUGGGCGCCGCCAUGGCGGCGGCGGCCGAGAUGCCCGUGUUCGUGGAGAGAGCCGAAAGCGGGAGGUAUGCCCAUGGAUAUCUCUGUGAUGCCGUCCUCACUGCAGGUGAAAACCCCUGAGGGCUGCACAGAGACCCGGCUUCCAGCAGAGGUCAGGCUUGCCCCUUCCACCUGCCGGGGGCUGCGGUAUGUGGCCGGGGAUGGGCUGCACCUCAGGCUGCAGGCUCAGGCAGGACUCUGCGCAGAACUGAUUUCAGUGUUUAAUCGAAGUUUACAAUCCCAAGAAUGCUGCACAUUUUAUUGUCAGUCCUGUGGAGAAGUCAUAAUAAGAGACAGGAAGCUCCUCCGGGUGCUCUCGUUGCCGAGUGAGAACUGGGGAGCUCUAGUUGGAGAAUGGUGUUGUCAUCCUGACCCCUUUGCUAAUAAGCCACUUCAUCCGCAAGAGAAUGACUGUUUUCUUGGAGACACUUUCUUCUUGGUGAAUUUAAGAAGUGACUUGUGGCAUCCAAGACCUGAACUAGCCCCAGCGGAGAUGCACUGUCUUUCUUCUGAGAACCAUUUUAAAUUGAAACCAAAGGCAAAUACCAAAGUAAUUUGUAAACGUUGCAAGGUAAUGUUGGGAGAGACCAUGUCAUCAGAAACCACCAAGUUUUAUAUGACAGAGAUAAUUAUUAAGCCAUCCGAGAGAAAUUUUCCUGUCAUACCAAGGUCUCGGUUUGUACAGAGUGUCGUCGCCCAGUGUCUGGUGGAACUCUCCUCUGCCAGAAGCACUUUCAGAUUCACCAUUCAAGGUCAUGACGGCAAAGUGUACAUCCUGCUAUGGCUUUUAAACUCAGACAGUUUGGUGAUUGAAUCUUUGGAAAAUCCCAGAUAUCUCAAGAAAUUCCCCCUGUUGGAAGACAUAUGGAAUGCAGAUUCCAGUUCUGCCUGGAAUGCCGUCAAGGUCCUCUACCAGCCAUGCAUCAAAAGCAGGAACAAAAAGCUUUCCAGCUCAUGGGAAAGUGAUGUCAGCACCCACUCUCUGACCAUGCCUUCUACAACCUGCUUGGAGCUGCUGCUGAUAUUAACAGGGAACAAUGCCACUCUGCCCCCAUCCCUCCGCUCUAUGGAUUCCUUUCAGUGGUAACGCUUUACAGAGCAUCCUACCGCCGGCAGGGCCGGUGGGGCCUGCGGCCCAGCUCCGCUCACCGUACUCAGCCUUCCCCAGUUUUGCCUCUGCUCAUUCGUCCAUGUGUGCUGGUGGCCUUUUUGAAGAUGUGACUGUUGAAACCGAGGCAUCCCUCUCCCGGGCAGACAGCUCUACAGCACGGAGCACAGCACAGGCCAGCCGUGGGCUCAGUGGGCAACAACUAGAGGCAAGAGCCGGAGCUGCAGAAUGGGAGGGUUGAAUUGAAGUUUUGAGUUUUCUUGUUUGCAUAUUUUUCCCUAAGAGUUAACUUUAAAUAUUUGAAGAACCACACCUGGGAAGAAAGUUUUAGUAGCAGACUGCGAUAAGUAUAGAAGUUUGAUAAUAUAGUUACAGUUAAUAUAAUUAAGAAGUUAGUUGCUAUAGUCUGUUUCCCACAGAGAGGAAUAUUCACGUUUGUGCUGUGUCAGCACCACCGGGAAGCAUAUUAGCUGGUGGAGACCCAUCUGUCCUAUGUGGAAUUCAGUGAGGGACUUACUUGAUGAAACUAAAUGCUCACUGCUGAUAGUCCAAGGAAAUGACAUACAAACAACUUCUCAAGUUCGUUUAAAACAAAUUUUUAAAAAAGAAGUAGAGAAUUUUGUAUUCCUUAUUCAUAAAUGCUCAAUAAAUAAAUGUUUGUUGAAUGAGUGAUUAUCAAAUUAAAGGUUUUUGCAUCUA